UGGCAGAGAUGAGGCACUUGGUAAUGC
rnacentral:piRNA from 1 species